UUCUUUCCCUCAUCCAAAGUUCUGUGUCUCAAACGCUCCCUUCCUAUCCAUCGCGGUAGUGUAAGGUCGAGCGUCUGUGGCGUUCUCGACUACUCUUGCGGAGCCAUUAACAGCACCCCCAUUAAUGUCUAUUUCCCAGUCGACAGAACUGAGAGCAACCGCCGAAUCCUUUGCCUCACGGCCGGUCCACCUGAGCUCGGUUCUUGGGACGAUGACCCUUGAGAUCCUCGCGAUCUCGGGUUUUCCGAACGGGGACUUUGUCAGCUCGGUGGGCUGAGGUAGUAGGGGAGACGUCUUAUUCCCAAGCUUGGUGUAUUUGAGCCUCGUCGAGGCAUGAUCAUUGGGCAAAACCAAGACUAUUGUCUACAUUC
rnacentral:sRNA from 1 species